rnacentral:misc_RNA from 1 species
UCAGCUCCGCCAAUGUAUUUUCUUCCGACAAACACCUUCGGUAGUCCUCCUUCUCCUCUAAACCCUUCUCCCAAUAGCUCUCUCAACUCAUCCUUAAACCCUGAAUGCAUCGAUACGUCUCGCUCAUCAGUUCGAACACCUAAGCCCCAUGGCAGCAAUCUUCGUAGGUUUUGCGAAUCCCUCGUAGGCUUGUAAAGUAUACCACCACCUUCUCAUUCCCACGUUUACAGAAGUUUUUA